AGACGAACCGGACGAACGUUAUUCGGAAUCACUGGGCUUAAAGAGUGCGUAGGCGGCUUUGUAGGUGAGGUGUGAAAGCCCACGGCUCAACCGUGGUACUGCGCUUCAAACCACAAGGCUUGAGGGAGGCAGAGGUAAGCGGAACUGAUGGUGGAGCGGUGAAAUGCGUUGAUAUCAUCAGGAACACCAGUGGCGUAGGCGGCUUACUGGGCCUCUUCUGACGCUGAGGCACGAAAGCUAGGGUAGCGAACGGGAUUAGAAACCCCAGUAGUCC
rnacentral:rRNA from 1 species